GUAAACAUUUAUCUUUAAAAAGACAUGUUGCGAAAAGUGUGAUUUAAAUCCGGCUAAGAGACGGCACUAUUUCAAAAGACUUCAAUUUGCCAUACUAAACGUCUAUUUCUUAUUUUUUUUUUUUUGUAAUAGUAAAUAAAAUUGUAAUAAUAAAUCGUUGUAUAGCCAGAACACAGAACAGAAGAAGAACGGGAGGAAGCCAGAGAAAAAGAACGGCAUAAUUCAGCAUAAUUCCUUUCUUGCGAAUAAUGUCCCUAGGCUAUGAGGGGCAAUGUGGCAUCAGAGGUUCUGUGUCCAUUUAAGAGUAUAACCACAAUUUUAUGACAGAACAAUCAUCCUGCCAAAAUUUUCAAUGCUGUACAGUUUUCAGUAAAUACUGAGCUGUGGAGAAAACAUGGUAUUACCUUGUCUGAAGACUGGUUUCCUCGAUUUAACAAUGCCGAGGAAGUUCCUUAUGUUGCAGACGUAGCCGAUAGGUCAGUUGUCGAUCAACUUCUUGGUCAAAAUAAUUCCCUUUUAGAUAAUCCAAAUGUAGAUGAAGCCGAAAAUCUAAACCCGGGCGGUAAAAAGACUUUUUCGACAACAAUGCACUAGAGCAGAACGCAAUCACCAGUCGUAUUGCAUUGGCUCCCGGUGAAGGCCGCCGUCCAGUGGACUUAACAUUGGACGAAGACGCAGAAGAACUGUCCAUUUCUACAAUUUCAUGUGGUCAGACUUUCAAAGCCAAAACUAUAUACAGCUGCGAGCAAAAAAAUAGUAGUGGCUUCACCCAUUUUUUAAAUAUCAUAGAAAGGCAAGACUGAGACUUCUUGGUAUGCAAAUUUAUUAUUCGGUCUGUUAUUAAUUAUAUAAUAAACAAAAAAAAACCACUCCAUUUUGAUAUUUCGAAAAUAAUCAAGAUUUGGUGUCAAUAGUUCCAAAUUGAGGCGAGCAAAAUAAUAGUAGCACAUAUUUUAAAG